rfam:Ochrobactrum pseudogrignonense strain K8 chromosome 1, complete sequence.
CGGAGCGUAGCGCAGCCUGGUAGCGCACCUGAUUUGGGAUCAGGGGGUCGGAGGUUCGAAUCCUCUCGCUCCGA